CAGUAAACAAAUGUAAUUAUUUUUCCUAGAGCCAACAUUGUAGCCUUCUUGCAGAGAUUUGUGCUCUUUGUGAGGUUCUUUUAUUAUGACAAAAUAACAAUAAAUGACACCAUGUAAUAGCUAAUAACAUUGUUAUGUCCCUUUAUUAUUUUUUCAGCAUGACGAAAUGUAACAAAGUAUUAACAUUCAUCUAAAUCAAAAGAUAAUUCAUUUGAAAGUUUUCAAAAUUUUGUUGUUUGAUAUUUUAUCUUAAUUGAAGCCUUUUAGAAUCCAUCAAAAUCAGUGUAUGUCUAAGCUCUUCAGUCAAUAUUUUUGUCAAAAACAUUCAUUUAUAUGUUAUACUUAACAAUCAUUACAUUCUUUAUAAAAGGUAUCGGUAAAGGAAUUAAGUACAAAGAAAAAAACUGGUUAAGGAAGAUUUGAACCAGAAAGUAAAUAGGAAAUGUUUUCCCCAAAUGAUCUUCCCUUGUAUAGUCAGGAUGAACGGAAGAUUGGGCAAAAGACAUAAAUCUUAAAUUUGAAAGGAAUGAAAAAAUACGAGGGUAGAAAGCAACACACAGCCUGAGUUGAAAAUCGGGUUUGCUUUUGAAAUUAAGAUUUGAGUAAAAAGAAAAAUAAUGCCUUUUCUUGGAUAACUCAGUUGUUAAUUUAACAAUAUGCAUAAACCAUCUACAUAUGCUACACGGUGUUCUAAUCUAUGUAGGUUCAGGAAAAAAUAAAACCCCAAUUCCUGCUUUAUGGACUUUAUAGUAUAGUGGGUGGACAGAGACAAUAAAGAAAUUGAAUACAUUCCACUAUGUCCGGGAAUUAUAAAAACAGCAAAAAAAGUGAACUCCGGGAAUUGAGGGUCUGGGUAGGAGUGUGUAGAUACUGUGGUCUAGGAAGACCUCUCUAACGAGAUACUCAAAUAAAGUGAGGGAGUGAGGUUUGCUGAUUUAUGAAGUGAAUGGAGAUUAAGAGCUUCCUCUUAUGGGAACCAAAGAAAUAUGGAAGUUUAUAUGUAACAAUUUUCAAAAUAGGAAUCAAAUACAAACAAGGAACAGCAGGUUUAUUUGGACUCAUUCAGUGAUUACAACGUUCUCAAGAUCAGAGAGAGAAGUCUCAUUUUGGUUUUUAGCCACUGCUUAUGUCACUUUUGAUAUGUCCCUUUGCCCAAAGCAAGUCACAUGGCCAAGCCCAGAUUCAAGAAACAGUGAAAAGGUUUCCACCUUCUGACGAAUGGAGCUGCAAAGUAACAUUACAAAGGGAAGGAUGCAUAAAAAGGCAGAAGAAUGUCCAGCCAUUUUUGCAGUCUAUCACAG
rnacentral:lncRNA from 10 species